rnacentral:rRNA from 1 species
AAUCAACGCUGGCGGCGCGCUUAACACAUGCAAGUCGAACGAGAAAGGGAGCAAUCCUGAGUAAAGUGGCGCACUGGUGAGUAACACGUGGAUAUCUACCUCCUGGUGGGGAAUAACCUGGGGAAACCUGGGCUAAUACCGCAUAAGUUCGAGAGAAGAAAGGCGCAAGGCGCCGGGAGAGGAGUCCGCGGUCGAUUAGGUAGUUGGCAGGGUAAAGGCCUACCAAGCCGAAGAUCGAUAGCCGGCCUGAGAGGGCACACGGCCACACUGGCACUGAAACACGGGCCAGACUCCCACGGGAGGCAGCAGUGGGGAAUAUUGGACAAUGGGGGCAACCCUGAUCCAGCCAUGCCGCGUGAGUGAUGAAGGCCUUAGGGUUGUAAAGCUCUUUCGCCCGCGAAGAUAAUGACUGUAGCGGGAGAAGAAGCCCCGGCUAACUUCGUGCCAGCCGCCGCCGUAACAC